rnacentral:sRNA from 1 species
AUCCAGCCCUGAUGUUAGCGACAUCCUUUUGUGGCGGGGUUUGCCACAAAAGAUAUAGCGAACAGCGGGAAGAAGC